rnacentral:rRNA from 9 species
GCGGUGGUCCCACCUGACCCCAUGCCGAACUCAGAAGUGAAACGCCGUAGCGCCGAUGGUAGUGUGGGGUCUCCCCAUGUGAGAGUAGGGAACUGCCAGAC